GCAACGAGAGCCAGUCCAACCACAGGAGUUUAUCCUUCCAGCAGGCUUUGAAACCAGCUGUGCAGUCAUCUAUACGAAUAAAAGUAUUAAUAGUUCAACAAGUUCAUCCAUGAUACAUUAAAUACACGGACACGCACAUACAAAACAUCUUGAGACCUUACCAAUUAGGUUGAAAGAAUUGGCUUAGUUGAACUUCUUUUCCAAAAAUCUCUUGUCCAAUGGUACCUGAUGCUCCCUCCAUCCCGUUGUCUUCCUCCAUCUAAGAACUUUCAUUCGCCACUGAUAAACACCCACCACUUAGAUCACAAGGAUAUAGUUUGUCCUAUUUUUACAUAUGUUUUAUUGCUACUUGAGAGUGUUCAAGUUGAGGUAUGUCUUUUAGUUUCUUCAAAUUUUUACUCCACUCCAUUUUUUUCUUUACUUUCUUAAAAUUUCUAGAUAUUUUGAGGGAUUGAAUGAAAUAUUUCAUUAACUUCCAUAUUAAUUUUGUAUGUGGUAAAUUCAUAUCAAAAUUUGAUUAUCAAUAAUUGCAAGUUUGAUUUGUGGUAACAAAUAAGUUGUGCACAAUUGUGCAGUUUUUUCAGUUAAUCUGCCAACCCUCCGCAACCCUCCGUUGACUAUUCCCCAACCCUCCGCAACUUGCUGGUAGCAAGGUUCGAACCAAGGACCUAAGCCUCAUCUUCAGCAACCCUAGCCACCAGAUCAAGUCCGGAGGGCCUCUAUUUCUGUUAACUUGUUGGUUUUGAGUUUAUCAAUUUGGUGGUCAUAAUUGAAGGUCGCGUUAACAUGGUUUGUUUGUAGUGCUGAUAUCUUUCGUUUUUAUCAUUAAGAGCUGUACGUUUUGGCAAGUCAUUCAAACUUAUAUGAUGUGCAAACCAUGUAUUCGCUUUAUGUCCUUAUUUAACAUCUAAAAUUAUUGUGUGUUUGUUUUUCUCUGUUUCAGAAAAUUGCUUGAUGUUUUGGAUUGGUUUAGUGUAAUUUCAUCCGUGCAUGUUUCGAUUGUGGUCUGCUAUUUGCUUGUUAUUUUAUUUUUCGUAAUUUGUUAUGAUAUUCUGGGUCCUUCUCUGUG
rnacentral:lncRNA from 1 species